rnacentral:lncRNA from 1 species
UUAUUUUUCUUGAAUUUUAAACUAUUUGUAAGGUGUAUCAUUUAUACCAUUGUUUAAAAUUUUUGUUGGCUCAUCAACAUUACUAUGUCUAUGGUUUUUUUAGUGCAGAAAUCAUAUGCACUUACAUGAUGUUAAGAUAACACCAACCAUGCAGUUAAUGAUCUGAGAUUUUACUAUGACAAUUUUUUUCAAUGAUAUCCAUCAUGUGAUUUAAUGUGUAAUCUUCUUUUAUGAUAUUUAUUGAUCCAUCUCGAUUAAUUCAAAUAUACUGUACAUUACCAAAUGUUCUCUCUGAGAAUUUCAAAACAAAUAUUUUGAACAUGAUAAUGCAGUAAGAAUGUAAAUACAUCUCUGUUCUCAUCAGUUUUAAAAUGGUGUUCCUGGAAUGAUUUUCAACACUUGAUCUUAACUUGAUCAUGAUCAGAAAGAACCCUGAUAUUUAAAUUAAUCAAGUCAUUCAAUACAUGCUGGUGAUUGUUGGUGGUCAAUUAAAAAAAAAAUAUGGGACAGACAGUUAUGUCUUGUGUGUGUGAUUAUUUAGCAUUUCAUAAUCGCAUUUGUAUAUAAGUUUUUGUGCAAAUGUAUGUUGCAUUCAAGCUCAGUUACUUAGAUAUCACUAUAGUUCAUUAUUUUCAUCAUAUCUACAAAGGUCAAGAAGAACAAACAUGACAUGUAAAAAUCAGGGUCCAAAUUUAAAAGACAUAUUUAUUACGGAUUUAUUGUGAAGAAGUUUUAUUAAUAUAUUUUGAGAUUAAAGUAAAAUUGGUCUCAUUCUGAUUAAACAUUGUUAAAAUACAGAUCAUGUGUUCAAGCUUUGCUUACUAGGAUCUGAAAACACUCCAUUCUUAUUUCCAUUUUAAAACUUUUUUGGGGACUCUGGUUUUGUCAGAUUAAAAAAUUUGAAGGCUGAAAUUUCAUUGGCUUAAUAAUUAUAAGAACAGAAAGCAAAACAGAGUGUUGUCAUACCCUUGGUCUUUAUAAAUUAUCAUUGAACAAUUUAAUCUGCUAGUUUAUGUCCAUAUAAUCAUGUGCUAUUUUGAUGUGAAAUGAAAAUCAAUGUAUAUAAGUUGUUAUUUUGAUGUGAAAUGAAAAUCAAUGUAUAUAAGUUGUUAUAGAUUAUUUUGCUCAAAGGGCGAACCAACAGAUAGAAAUGUUUUUUUUUAUUUUUCAAAGAGCUAUAUCAUAGGUUUUUCAGUUUUUCAUAUCAACUAGUUUGAGUAGAUUGAUAUUAAUAAUAUCGUUUAAAAUGGUAUCUGUUGUUUGGUGUUUAUAUUUAAAAUUAUACUUGGAGGAUGUGCAUGAUGAAACAUUUUCUAAGUCUGAAAUGUUAAAGGGGAGAUAAGCAAUCCUUUUUAUUUAGUUCAUAGUUUUUGUUCAUUAAUUUAUAUAUAUUUAUUUUUAUUUUUCAUGGAGAAGGGGUUUGUGAAAAAACUUUAUUUUACCACAUUUCUAUAGUUUUUAUGGUAGAUUGACACUGUUUGAUAGAGUCUCGAUAGGCAGCAAAGUACAAAUUGGUAAUUUUUACUCAUGAUUUGUAAUUAACAGGCAAGCACUUUGAAAAUUUGCAACAUGAAGACAGGAUUAUUUAAUAUCAAAAAAGAUUUAAAAUAGUUACUGCUUUUACACUCUAUUGGAAAUAUCUUAAAUGAUAUACUUUAGAGAUACAAUAGAGUUCAAAUUGAUUUACUGUAAUAUAGACAUGAUGAGAGAUAAUUGUGUUAAAUCAGGGGGCGAUAUUGUGUUAUAUCAGGGGGAGAUAAUUUGUUAAAUUAGGGGGAGAUAAUGUGUUAGAUCAGGGGGAGAUAAUUUGUUAAAUUAGGGGGAAAUAAUUAAUAUCAGAACCAGUAUUAUUUGAAUGCCUUGAAAUGUUUUUUGCAUGUUUUUUUCAAAUGUACUUUUCUUUAAGUAGAUAUAGGACGUGUAUCAUAUGUAUAAAGUCUUAGGACUCUAACAAAUUUCUGAAGAGUUAAAAUUUUAUCAUGCUUUUGAAAUCUACCAACUGUGUUCAGUUGUAUAAAAUGUGUUCAAGUAUUUGUGUAUAGAUAAAUGUGGAAUAUAUGUACAGUGAAAAAUCUUAUAAACCAGUUUACUGUUCAUAAAAUUAAAUAAAUUAGACAUUUGACAGCUUGUUCAAAAUUAAACAAAUGUUUUGGAGAUUUUAAACCUUUCUAUUUUUAUUAUAAAUCAUGUAAUUUGGGAAGCCCCAGACAAUUGUGGCUAUUACUUUCAGGCCCAUGUAUGAUAUCAAAGUGUCCAUGUAUUUAUUUUUGCAGUUGCCAUAUCUGUAAGGUUGCAUGUUUAAAGAUAUUUCACUGUAUAUGCAUAUUUCUAAAAAAAAAAUUUAUUAAAAAAAGAGGCAUAUAAAAUUUAAAAAAUGCUUGCUUUUUGUUUGUUUUCUUAUUGUCAUCCCCCACAACAGAUAUCUUGAUGUAUACUUAGUAAUGCAAUGUAGGAAUAUAUAGUUAUUUCUCCAAAUGGUCUGGGUUAUUUUCAAAAAAGAAUACUUUACACGUUUCAGGGUAAACUGGAUUUGUUCACAGCACUUUUUAGAACGCC